GUGGUCAACUAGGCGCAUGCGUAACAUUAAGACAAGAAGAAAAUUAUAUGAAAUAGUCUGGUAGUCGACUAGGCGUAUACGUAACAUGAAGGCACGAAGAAAAUUAUAUGAAAUGGUAUGGUCGACUAGGCGUAUACGUAGUAUUAAGGCAAGAAGAAAAUUAUGUGAAGAAGUCUGGUAGUCGACUAGGCGUAUACGUAAUAUUAAGGCAAACAAAAAAAUUAUAUGAAAUACUACAUAUGAACAUAUGGAUACAUGUGUACCAUACAAAUAUAUUAUAUAAGCAAAAGUUUCUUAUUUCGCGCUCAGAUUUUAAAGUUAAGCAAAUUUUUGAUGAUGGCUUAUUGUAUUGAGACUGAUUUUGUAAUAAAAAUAAAUAAAUUUAAACAUAAAAAUAAUACAUAAUUAAGCAAAUGUACAAUUGGAUAACUCUAACGGAAAAGUAAACAACAAACAAACAGUGUUAUGAUAAAACAAUUGCAAUACAAAUCUUUAAAAUAAUUACUGAAUUAAUUAAUUAAAAUUAAAUGUGAAUAGUUGUGAAAUUAUUGCAAUACUAGUUUUGGUUAACUAAUUAAAAACAAAAAAAGAAAAAUAUUUGCGGUUAGUUGCAACAAUUUAUGAACUUUAAAUUGAAAUAUUUAAAUAUAAAUGUAUAUGUAUAGUUAAACAUCGUUAAGAUACUAACUUUAUUUGUUGUUAUUUGCACAGAAAAAAAUAAAAAUAUUGCAAUAAAAAGAAGCUGCAAUUUCGGCUGGCAAUCACAUAUUUCAAAAAAAGAUAAAAAUUGUUGUAUAUUUACAACAGAUACUGCACACUACCAAAUACUAGCUAGGCAAUUAACUAAUAUAAACAUAUACACAUAUGUUCGCAUAAACACACACACGCAUACACAAAUAGAUACAUAUAAAUUAUUCAUAUACUAUAUGUAUAGAUGUUCCAAAAAGCUAUUUUUCUAAAGAAAUGCUGCAUAUAAGAAAUCAACAUUUCGAAAACUAUAUUUUACAGAAUUCCGCUAACCACAUACGAGGGCGGUGCGAUAUGUACUUAGACUACAAAAGUACAAAUUUUUUAAAAAUGUUAAUUUAUUUCUCAUAUCGUCUCAUUUUAGCUCGGCACAUUCGACCCAGCUGAAAAAUACAUUUUCUGGCGGUCUGCAAAGUAAGCCUUCGUGGCGGCGAUUAAAAUGUUUAUUUGACAACUGACUCUUUUCGCUCGAAACCAAAUGUGAAAUUAGGUUUGACAACAGUUCCUAACCUAAGCUGACCAUUUUGGCGCUGAUGAUGUAGAAGGUGUAAACCGUAGCAUUGUCAUGAUAGAGGAGCUUUUUGCGUUUCUAGAGAAGUCAAUGUAGCGCGCAACUUGUGAAUUCCCGAAAACGUUGAACAUCACUUAUACGGGUGAUAGAACAGUCUUCGCUUUCUGCGGACAUGUUCGUCGAAAUCCAUUAUUUCGACUGUACCUUGGUUUAUUGAAUAUCAAUAGAUCCAUGUUUUUCGACAAAUUUCUCAUAUGCAAUAAUUCACGUAGAGAAUACCAAAUAUUUGAAGUAGAGUAUGACGCACUUGAUCUUUUUAAAUAACUACUGUCUAUCUUGCACCUUCCCAAUUAUGUUACCGGACAUUCCAGGUGCAUGCCCUUAAAUCGUGAUACUCAAUGCGUUUGCAGUGAUCGUCAUCAAAAGGGGAGUCUCUCUUCCGAAGCUGUUUUCAUUAGUAGUCAUUGGUAGUGUUUUUCACGUAGCGGAACCCAAACAGAGCGAACAAUCCUGGAGAGAGAUGUUCCGUAUUCUCACUUUAGGUCACCUUUAAACGGAUGUUCUUGGGCUACGAAGAGGAUACUUGUUCUAAGACCAGAAGUCGUGAGCUGCAAAGAUCAGUGUUCAACUAAUCCGGAAUUCUUCAGACCAAUUUUUGAUAGAUGUCAUAGAAGAAAAAGAGUUAUCAUGUUCAGCAUCAACGCGUUUUUUGAUCUCGCUGCACGAUUUCCCUUUCAAAAACGAAGAAUCACUGACAGAUAUUGCUCUUUUACAAUUUUUCUAACAUUCGCGAAAGCCACCGAAAUCACACGCGAUUAAAAAUUAACGAAGACUUUUUAUUAGGCUGAAGUUUUGUUUCCUUAAGGAGAUUAUUAUUCAAUAAUCCGAUAGCUAUCAGCUAUGGAUGCUAAGUACUUAUCGGGCAGCCCUCGUAUAUAUUUGGAGUUUUGUUUUUAUGUCUUUCCUAUACAUUGAUUCAUAUUUUUUUCAAUUAGGUAAGAUUUUCUGGCAUUAUUUCUCACCUUUCUCAUAUACGAAAGGUUUAAUCCAAAAGAUCUCAUUCAAACUUCGCCUUAAUUACGAGUAUAAGCUAUUUAAAAUUUCUGGAAGGCAGAAUGAAGUAAAUUCUCAUCCCAUAACUACAAUAGCCCUAAAACUACAAUCGUAAUUACACAAGAAGUCAUAUAGCACCAGAUAUUUCAAAAUGCUGAAUAAAAUUUGAAAAAUCCCUUGAUUUAAGCUGAGCUCAUUUUCAUUUUCGUCUAAUUUCUUUUGUUUCGAAAAGUUUUAAAAAUAGACAACAUUGUUGUUGUUGCUGUAUAGAUAAGUGCAAAGCAAUUUUUUAUCAGCUUUUGUGCAAAAACGCAUUACACACACACACAAAUUGCAUGAACAAACGGUACUAUAUAAAUGUGCGUGCGUAUUAUAACUAUUAGAUAAAAAUUCUGUGAUAAAAGUUUCAAAAUACGAUCCUUGCAGAAAAUUAAACGGGUAUUAAAAACAAACAAAACCAACAACAACACUUUACACCACAUAAAAUAUGCUUCUACAUAAGACAUACUAAAUUAGCAAGUCUAACAGAAUCCUAUAGUAAAUGUGAAUGUAACGUAAAUUACAAGAAUAACAAAAAAGACAAACAACUUAUAGAAACAGAUCAAAACUGAAAUGUCGUCGAAGUCGAAGUCUGAUGCGCAGACUUUACACAGUUGCAAGAGAAAGAAAUGGGACACAGCGUAAACAAAUAUUUACAGGAAAUACUAUAGAUUUAUAAAAUAUCAUCUUGUAUACAUAAGAACCCAACAAUUCAAAACUUGCAAUGUAGAGCUUAUUUUUUUUUCUUUAAUGUUUUUCAAACCAUGUUCUGUAUUUAGACCGUAAUUUUUAAAUAUUUCUCGUAACAUGUGAAGUAAAUUGUUUGUGGAGUAUUGAGGUUGUAAGCACUCAUUAGGAACUUGGCUUGGCGCAUGCCUUGAAGUUGUUACCAAUACUUCUCCCUUACUUACUCUUUCCUCCUUGCGGAACCGCUUCUUUGUGGUAUGAGGACCAACCGCAAAACUCGAUUCCAGUCCUACUAUUGUAGAGAAAGAUGCAGAACGGGAAAGCGCAUCAGCCAGUUCAUUCCCGGCUAUACCUUUGUGACUUGGCACCCAAAUAAGGUACACUUGGUUACGAUCUGAUAGAUUGUUCAGUCGUUCUGUACUCUCCUUACCAAUACCGAUUUGAGCACGUACGCAGAGAUUGCUUUGAGUACCUCUUCCUAGCUCGAGAGCGGAAUCGUUCGUAAUCUUAAACUUCCUAGUGAAGUUAACACUUUUAGUAAUGCUGUCACUUGGCAGAAGAGCCAGGCGAAUUACGCCAUUUAGGUCCUUCAUGCGUUGGAAAGAUAUUACCUUAACAACUUGACCGAUUACUAGGUGAAGCGGUGUGAGAUCCAGCGAGAUGCUCAUGGCACCCAACACGCUUCGAUGGUUGAAGUCCUACCGAAGUCCGAGAUGCUUUCGGCACCCAAGCCACCACUCGAUAUGUGAUAAUCGGUUGCACGAUCAUGGUGUACAACCACCUGACAAUCCUUGGCUUGCAGCCCUAGGAUUUAAUUGCUCACCAUAAGCACUUUGCACUUUCACUUUCAUUGGAAAAAACUGGUAGAUUCGAUUUUCAUAAGCUUCCCCUUGAACAAUUUUUUACCAAUAUUAACAACUAGCGGUUAAUAAUCAGUUGAUGCUAAAUCCGCACCAUAAGUUGGAUGCAUAAGAACUUCCCGAUCAUGCUCCUGGAGCUUCUGGUCAAUCACUAUGUUGUUGUUUCUGAAGAAAUUUCGGCGAACUCCUCGUGAGUCAGUAUUGAUGUGCUUUGAAUUUUCUUGAUGAACUACAAUUUCACUGCUUUUGACCAAAGUUGACCGCUUCUGAGCGAUUGUUUCCUUCAGACGGUUCAGUCGUUGACAAUACAGGUCCAAAUUAAGUGUUUGGCAGUAAGAAAGUAGUUCAAAGUAGAUGAUUCCCUGCCAAUCUCAACGAACACAUAGCAAAAUCGUCCUGACCUUCUAUCUUGGGCUUGAUGUUGUCGCUGUCCGUUUUCGCUAGACGUUGGUGGUCCACUUUUCAUCACCAGUAAAAAUCCGUUUUACAAAUGGAUCGAUUUUAUUGCGAUUCAGCAGCGAUUGCAGAUUGAAUCUCAGUACGUUAGGAUUUUUUGCGUCAACCCGUGCGGCAUCCACACAUCGAGAUCCGUUUAGUAUCAAUCAUUGUUUAAAUAGUUUCAAACGGUUUUCCGUGAAAUAUUUUGCUUCUCGGGAAUCGAAACAGUGCUGACAUGCCGUACGAACUCAGCAAUUUCAGGAACGGAGCUUUAUUUUAAUCCGCUCAAAGAUUCUCAAUCCGGCACCAUUUCGGGUAAUGUUUAGCUCCUUGGGAAUCGAAAUAGUGCUUACAUGGCGUAUCGACUCUACAAUUUCGAUCCGUUCCCAUGACAGUAGGGUCUAAGUAGGCGGAACGGAGCUGAAUUUUAGUCCAACCAAAGAUUGUCAACCCGGUACCGUGAAAUUACUUCAAGAACGUUUACUGCCGCUAUAAUAACAUUUUUCAUCGACACUUUCGACUAUGGUCCUUUCAUAGCGUAGUGCAUCUCUGACAUCAAAUUACCGAAACGGAUACGAAGAAACCGAAAUUGCGUUUAUUUGGUGGCACAGUAUCAAGUGUUUCUGGUCUUUUCAUGGUCUUUCAUAUCUUUCGUCGUGUUCGCCUCCAUCGUUGAAAAACUAUAGAAAAUGGCAUAUUUUAUAUGAUGUCCAUCUUUGCCGUGAGCUCACACAUUACGGAGUCAAGCAAUCAAAAAGUUAUCUGAAAAGCGUUUUCAGUACAAAAUCUUAGCUUUCUAACGCUAUAUAGCGCAAUCCGAUGAGACUUAUAUAUCAUAAGUUACAGAUUACUUAAGCCACAACUAAUAUAAUGGACUUUAUAUUAGAUAUUCCAUUUGCUUCCACUUUUCUCUGCUGAUCAUCUGAUCAUCUUCCACCGUUUCGUUUUAUAAUGAACCUAGAUGUCGAAUUAUAGUACUACUAGUUAUGGCAAAAGUUAUAUUAUUAGUAUUUUUCCAUAGAAAUUUUUAAUAUAUUUAAUUUUAGAUUUGCUAUAUUUCUACAAUUUGAAUGCCAUAAUUAUAUUUUCCUAUAUGAAAACGUAUGCUGUGUCCCAUUACAUUUGCGAGCGACUGUAGGUCUGAAGACAGAGAUCACUACAUACUACUUCAUACUACUAAUACUUACCUGUAAACAUGCAUAAGAACAUAUGAGUGUUUGAAAUAAGUUCACUGCAAAUUCGAAAGUGGUAUCUUAAAUGGCAAAACUAACUAAACUAAAACGUAUUCAAUAAGACAAAUGAUAUAUUUACACACAUAAAAUAUAUAUGGUAUAGAGCUAAAAAAAGUACCCGUUAUACUUAAUAUGACAAAUGAAAGCGAAACUAAAGUGAAAAAUAUAGAGCAAUAUUUAUUUUCAAAACCAAAAACCAAAAGAAGUGAGAAUACUCACGCCAACCGUUCGUGUCUAACUGUUAAUUCGAAAAUAUUAUAUAUGGUAUGUGUAUAUCUGGGGUAGAGAACCUAACAAGAACAAAUCGCACAGCCCAUAAAACCCCAAAACAUACACCACUCACCCAAUAAUAAGAGUCUAGUGUAACUGCAGAGCGUUCAGAGCGUAAAAGAGAGCAGAAAUAUUGAAGUAGACUUUAAGCGGCGAACGAAUUGUAUUAAAGCCUCUUUUUACUUUUAGGCAUUACACACAUCCACAUACAUACUUACAUAUAUUAUAUGUUAUACUUGUAUUGUAUGUACAAGCACAGUGUUGGCUAGAGAAAAUGCAAUAAAAGUUAGUAAAAAAAACAACAAAAAUGUAGGUAAUUAAUAAUGCAGUUAUUGCAAUUCAAAUUUAACUUAAGCUAAAAGUGAACAAAUAGUUAUAUAAAUAUAUAUAAAUAAAUACAUGCAAAUAUGUAAUAGAAAAAUUAAUAAAAAAAAGUAUAAAAUAAUAUAAAAAAAUAUAUUUAGGCAUAUUUUUUCUAAUGCACCUUCAACUCUCACGCCCUCACACUCACACCCACACCGAAUAGUUCACUUGUCUAUUGCAAAGCCACAAAUAUGUAUUGUAAAAAAUAAAAAUAAAAAUAAAAAUAAAAAUAAUUUAAAAAGAAACUAUCGCAUGAAAUAAGUCACGUGAUCCACGAACCCUGAGAAUUGUCCGAAAAAUAAAUGCAAUUGUAAGAAUACUCGUAUGAAUAAACCAAAUUACGUUGAAAAUAAAAAAUUAUGUUGAUAAUGA